GUCCUCAUUUUGGUAGCACAUACACUACAGGGUAUGAACAAUACAGGGUAGAUUAGCAUGGCUCUGUUAAAGAAGAAAUUAAAUCUCAUGAAGUAUUUCAUAUUUUA
ensembl:snRNA U6 U6 spliceosomal RNA